UGGGGAAUAUUGGACAAUGGAGGAAACUCUGAUCCAGCAAUUCCGUGUGUGUGAAGAAGGCUUUAGGACUGUAAAACACUUUUAGUAGGGAAGAAAAAAAUGACGGUACCUACAGAAGAAGCAACGGCUAAAUACGUGCCAGCAGCCGCGGUAAUACGUAUGUUGCGAGCGUUAUCCGGAAUUAUUGGGCUUAAAGGGCAUCUAGGCGGUAAGACAAGUUGAAGGUGAAAACCUGUGGCUCAACCAUAGGCUUGCCUACAAAACUGUUGAACUAGAGUACUGGAAAGGUGGGUGGAACUACCCGAGUAGAGGUGAAAUUCGUAGAUAUGUGUAGGAAUGCCGAUGAUGAAGAUACCUCACUGGACAGAGACUGACGCUGAAGUGCGAAAGCUAGGGGAGCAAACAGG
rnacentral:rRNA from 1 species